GGCCUUUUGAAUUUAAUUUAAGGUCUGACCUGCCCAGUGAUGAAUUUAACGGCCGCGGUAUAUUGACCGUGCAAAGGUAGCAUAAUCAUUAGUCUUUUAAUAGAGGGCUGGAAUGAAUGGUUUAACGAGGAACUAGCUGUCUCAUUUUAUUUGUUUUAGAAUUUAAUUUUUUAGUUAAAAAGCUAAAAUUUUAUUGGAAGACGAGAAGACCCUAUAGAUCUUUAUAUAAUUUUAUUUAUUUAUUUAUAUAUUAAUGUAAUUAUAUUAAAAUUAUAUUUUGUUGGGGUGACAAAAAUAUAUAAUUAACUUUUUCAUUUAUUUACCAUUUAUAUAUGAGUAUUAGAUCCAUUUUUAGUGAUUGUUAGAAUAAGUUACCUUAGGGAUAACAGCGUAAUCCUCCUCCAGAGUUCAUAUUUACAGGAGGGCUUGCGACCUCGAUGUUGGAUUAAGAUAAUAAUUAGGUGUAGCCGCUUAAUAUAUAGGUCUGUUCGACCUUUAAAUUCUU
rnacentral:rRNA from 1 species